AAAGAAUAGUUUAGUUUAAAAUGUCGAAUUGUAGAUUCGAAGAAAAGUCUU
rnacentral:tRNA from 1 species